rnacentral:rRNA from 1 species
UACGUAGGGGGCAAGCGUUGUCCGGAAUCAUUGGGCGUAAAGCGCGUGCAGGCGGCCAGAAAAGUCCGCUGUGAAAACUCGAGGCUCAACUUCGAGCUGUCGGUGGAAACUUUCUGGCUAGAGUCCGGAAGAGGAGAAUGGAAUUCCUGGUGUAGCGGUGAAAUGCGCAGAUAUCAGGAAGAACACCCGUGGCGAAGGCGGUUCUCUGGGACGGUACUGACGCUGAGACGCGAAAGCGUGGGGAGCGAACAGG